CCCCUCGGGGGGGGGGGGGCGUAGUAGGGAUCUCCGCAAUGGACGAAAGUCUGACGGAGCAACGCCGCGUGAGUGAUGAAGGUUUCGGAUCGUAAGCUCUGUUGUUAGGGAAGAACAAGUACCGUUCGAAUAGGGCGGUACUUGACGGUACCUAACCAGAAAGUCACGGCUAACUACGUGCCAGCAGCCGCGGUAAUACGUAGGUGGCAAGCGUUGUCCGGAAUUAUUGGGCGUAAAGGGCUCGCAGGCGGUUUCUUAAGUCUGAUGUGAAAGCCCCCGGCUCAACCGGGGAGGGUCAUUGGAAACUGGGGAACUUGAGUGCAGAAGAGGAGAGUGGAAUUCCACGUGUAGCGGUGAAAUGCGUAGAGAUGUGGAGGAACACCAGUGGCGAAGGCGACUCUCUGGUCUGUAACUGACGCUGAGGAGCGAAAGCGUGGGGAGCGAACAGGAUUAGAUACCCUGGUAGUCCACGCCGUAAACGAUGAGUGCUAAGUGUUAGGGGGUUUCCGCCCCUUAGUGCUGCAGCUAACGCAUUAAGCACUCCGCCUGGGGAGUACGGUCGCAAGACUGAAACUCAAAGGAAUUGACGGGGGCCCGCACAAGCGGUGGGGCAUGUGGUUUAAUUCGAAGCAACGCGAAGAACCUUACCAGGUCUUGACAUCCUCUGACAAUCCUAGAGAUAGGACGUCCCCUUCGGGGGCAGAGUGACAGGUGGUGCAUGGUUGUCGUCAGCUCGUGUCGUGAGAUGUUGGGUUAAGUCCCGCAACGAGCGCAACCCUUGAUCUUAGUUGCCAGCAUUCAGUUGGGCACUCUAAGGUGACUGCCGGUGACAAACCGGAGGAAGGUGGGGAUGACGUCAAAUCAUCAUGCCCCUUAUGACCUGGGCUACACACGUGCUACAAUGGACAGAACAAAGGGCAGCGAAACCGCGAGGUUAAGCCAAUCCCACAAAUCUGUUCUCAGUUCGGAUCGCAGUCUGCAACUCGACUGCGUGAAGCCUGCAAUCGAUAGUAAUACGCAGAUCAGCAUGACGACGGAUAUGG
rnacentral:rRNA from 1 species